rnacentral:tRNA from 1 species
GCCCUGGUGGGGCAAUGGUUAAGCUGUUCGCUUGCUAACCGAAAGAUUGGCGGUUCAAACCCACCCCAGUGGCU